rnacentral:rRNA from 1 species
UGGGAAUUUGGACAAUGGGCGAAAGCCUGAUCCAGCAAUGCCGCGUGUGUGAAGAAGGCCUUCGGGUUGUAAAGCACUUUUGUCCGGAAAGAAAUCCUUGGCUCUAAUACAGUCGGGGGAUGACGGUACCGGAAGAAUAAGCACCGGCUAACUACGUGCCAGCAGCCGCGGUAAUACGUAGGGUGCAAGCGUUAAUCGGAAUUACUGGGCGUAAAGCGUGCGCAGGCGGUUUGCUAAGACCGAUGUGAAAUCCCCGGGCUCAACCUGGGAACUGCAUUGGUGACUGGCAGGCUAGAGUAUGGCAGAGGGGGGUAGAAUUCCACGUGUAGCAGUGAAAUGCGUAGAGAUGUGGAGGAAUACCGAUGGCGAAGGCAGCCCCCUGGGCAAUACUGACGCUCAUGCACGAAAGCGUGGGGAGCAAACAGGAUUAGAUACCCUGGUAGUCCACGCCCUAAACGAUGUCAACUAGUUGUUGGGGAUUCAUUUCCUUAGUAACGUAGCUAACGCGUGAAGUUGACCGCCUGGGGAGUACGGUCGCAAGAUUAAAACUCAAAUGAAUUGACGGGGUCAUAGCUGUUUCCU